rnacentral:rRNA from 1 species
UACGUAGGGUGCAAGCGUUGUCCGGAAUUAUUGGGCGUAAAGAACUCGUAGGCGGUUUGUUGCGUCGGCUGUGAAAUCCCGAGGCUCAACCUCGGGUCUGCAGUCGAUACGAGCAAACUAGAGUGUUGCAGGGGAGACUGGAAUUCCUGGUGUAGCGGUGAAAUGCGCAGAUAUCAGGAAGAACACCCGUGGCGAAGGCGGCUCUCUGGGACGGUACUGACGCUGAGACGCGAAAGCGUGGGGAGCGAACAGG